CCAAACUUGGUCAUUUAGAGGAAGUAAAAGUCGUAACAAGGUUUCCGUAGGUGAGUAACAACAAUUCUAAUAUUUAUCUUUCUAAUGAUAAAAUGCUAAUAUUUGAUUUUUAGGUGAACCUGCGGAAGGAUCAUUACCGAGUUUUUGAGAAUUUUCUCAACUCUCACCCUUUGUUUAUUCAGACAUUUUGCCUCGUCAAGUUUUUGUGGAUUUUUUCACAAGGGGAAACCCACUUGACGAAAGGCUUUUUCAAAUUCUUGAAAAAUAAGAUUUUCUGAAAAAAAUUUAAAUAAAUCAAAACUUUCAACAACGGAUCUCUUGGUUCUGGUGUCGAUGAAGAACGCAGC
rnacentral:misc_RNA from 1 species